rnacentral:misc_RNA from 2 species
CCGAGUACUAUAACUCAUAACCCUUUGUGAACCUUUAUACCUGUUGCUUCGGCGGCGCGCCUCCCGGGGCGUGCCCGCCGGUAUCAUCAGAAUCUCUGUUCGAACCCGACGAUAUUUCUGAGUGUUCUAAGCGAACUGUUA